UUUACUUCUUUCUCUCUCUCUCUCUCUCUCUUCUCGGUCGUCGAUGGAAAAAUUGUUUCCGCUUUUAUUCGAGUGGAAAAUAAUUUCAAGAAUCGAGCGUCAUUUGGAACAUUAAAACAAGAAAACAGAAUUGAAAAAAACGAAUGGAGGGAGAGAAGGAGGGAGGACUUUAUCGAAAAGCCGAAAAUUUAUCUCUGCUAAAGGAAAAGAUAAUUAAAGAUAAUUCGGUGACGAUCACACGUUGCGAGAAGCGUGUCUCGAGGCGAGUCGAAUGUCGGAGAUGGAACGAGGAGAGAUGGUCGGGAUAAGAGAACGCGUGUAUGUACACACACCGUUCGAGGGUCGUUCGCAGCAUUGUGCGCAGCGUGGAGGACUUUCCAGUUAAAACGUGCAAAUAAACAGCGGGAGUGGCUCGAAUUAAGCACGACUCCCGCAGCGGCCGUGAGGGAAAAGGAGAGCAAAAAAGAUGGCGGGCAAAAAGGAGAAGCUCGAGUGGGAGGCGAGAGGGCAACAGGAGCAAGAGGAAGAAGGAGAAGGAGAAGAAGGAGAAGGAAAACGGUGCCAGAACCCGGGCAGAGAGAGAAGACGGAUGAGUGACACAAGGUGGUUGUGCGCUUACUUUUCUCUAGCGAUGGCACCAACCAACAAUCCUCCUCGCUCUCGAACAACAACAGAUCAAACUAGUGGCAAGCUAAACUACUAAAAUUUUUAAAUUAUAUUAUAUUAUACAAUCUCUGCUUGUAUCCCUUCGUUCCUCAACUCGAGAGAAAACGGAUUCGAGAAAAUAAAACGAACGAAUCGACUUUCCCUUUUCCUUCUCCCUUCUUCGAAGAAGGAAACGAGAGAGGAGGAGGGGAAAUAUUCCGAGUAUCGAGUAGGGAUCGUGGCCACCGCUAACUCUGUCGGUGCAUCCCCCAAGAUAAAGUGAAAACAAAGCGGCGUGGGAUAAUAUAACGAAGAGAGCGGAGAGGGCAGCAACACGAAAGAGAGGACAACGAACUUGCCCCGUAAUACUCGCUGCGUAUAUAAUCGGCCGAUUCUGGGUUAAGCUUGACAGAAGUUGGUGCGCAGAAUGUCACGUGCGUGUAUUUAUCGCGGGAGAAAUUGCCAACUUGGUUCGCGCCCGUUCAAACACCUUUCGAACACCAUUCUUUUCGAGUUCAUUCCUCGAAGGGUGGAUUCUUUCUCCCCCCCACCUUCCAUCUUCUUGUCGCGCCCGAUUUAUUUCAUUUUUAUCUCGAAGAAGAAGAGAUGGCUUCGGCAAGAAGAAUUCGCGUUAUCGCGUUGGAAAUCGAUCGAGAAAUCAUGUUUCUGGAAGAUUAACUUUUCUCGGAAUUGAAUUCUUUUUUUUAGGUGUGGUAAAUUUUUUCAAGGAACGAUCAAAUUUUGAUCGAUUUAACGUUAAAGAGAAAGUAGAGGUAAUGCUUACGAAUUUAAUAAACAGAUGGAUUUUUCUUUUAGAAUAGUAAAUUUUUUAAAGAAACGAUCAAAUUUUGAAAUUUUUAUCGAUUGAAUGUUAAAAAAGUCGAAGAGAUAAUUUUUACGAAUUUAAUAAAUAGAUGUAUUCGCAUCGUGUUGGAAAUCGAUCGAGAAAUCACGUCUUUUGAAUUGGAUUUUUCUUUUAAAAUAGUAAAUUUUUUAAAGAAACGAUUGAAUGUUAAAAAGAAAGUAGAGAUAAUUUUUAUAAAUUUAAUAAAUAGAUGUAUUCGCAUCGUGUUGGAAAUCGAUCGAGAAAUCACGUCUUUUGAAUUGGAUUUUUCUUUUAAAAUAGUAAAUUUUUUAAAGAAACGAUUGAAUGUUAAAAAGAAAGUAGAGAUAAUUUUUACGAAUUUCAUAAACAGAUGAAUUCGCAUCGCGUUGGAAAUCGAUCGAGAAAUCAUGUUUUUUCUGGAAUUGAAUUUUUUCUUUCAGUAGAAUAGUAAAUUUUUUAAAGAAAUUCCUCUCUUCCUCUUCAACGACCAUCGACUAUGAUUUCUUUCUGUUUAUUUCCAUACAAAUUUUAAUCAACGAAAUUUCGAAACUUGGAUCGAUUGAACGUUAAAGAAAAAGUUGAAGAAGUAAUUCUUACGAGUCUAAUAAACAAACGUGUUUAAACUUGAGAGAUUACGCUUAUCUACCUUCGAGCAUCCCAAAUUCCACGAUCACAAUUUCCAGAAAAAAUAUUUACGAUACCUAAGGUACCACCCACUUGAGAAACUUAUUCAAAUAGAGACUAAAAGGUUGGAGAAAGCGAAUCUUGACAAUCGAACGAUUACGAAUUCCAAAUUACGCCACAGAGAGACUCGAAAUUCCUUGGUCGCGUAUCAACGAGGAGGUAUCGCUCUCUUGCCGAUCCCUUUGCACAAAAGAAAAAAAAAUCCCCAUCGUUUCUUCGCGCGAAGAAAGAACGUUUUCAUACCUCGUCGAUUCGUCUUUGAAACGGGAAGAGAAGAGGAGAAACAAAGAGUUGAAAGGUGUCAGAAACGGAGUUGCCGCGCGAAACACUAGAACGAGGAAGUGGUUCACCGGGGAUAUAUUCGCCGGUUUUGUAUUUUAUCUUGCAUUCCUUGGCCAGCCGCAGGUCCAGAAGGGUUCGCGUGACCUUGCCUGGUUCCGUGAAUAAAGCCUUCGCAUUUUUCAGCUUCCAUUUAUUACCGAAACUACGAGCGUCAUGAUCCAACGGUUAUUUAUUUAAACAAUUCGACGGCUGCAUCAGAAAGACUACACCAGCGACAUCUUAAUUUUCAACAUUCGUUCGUGCGUGUAUAUACAUAUACAAAAUGUCUCCAAAGUUUACAACUAAAAACCUGAAAUUCGUAGACGAGAAACUGUAUAAUUUUCAAUAUCGCAGAUAACGUGGAGGUUCAACGAUCCGUACAAUGACCUUGAAAUCACUUUGAAUUCAAAAAUAUGGAGAAUCGUGAAUGCCCGAAGUAAAGCUCGAGAAACGAAAUUAUUUCACAAUCUUGUAGAUGAUAAUAAAUGAUAUAUAUAUAUAUAUAUGAUAAUGAUAAUUGGAAAAAUAUUGCGGAAAAUAUUUCUAUAUCGAUUAACUUCUUUUUUUUUUUUUUUUGUAUUUCUCGUGUCCAUGGAACUUGAAUCUAUCGACUCUAAUUUUUCUUUUUUUUUUCUUAACAAGUUUCGAAUGUUUCAAAGUGUGAAAUGCACAAUGGAGGAUAAUAGGCUGUAAUUAUUUUAGAAAUGACUUGGAAAAGAGGUACAAAGUCCCUUUCCAUUCACUCGGGAUCCUUUUGUCCGUUUCUCCUUUAACGGCGUCUCGAGCAAUUGACACCGUGUCCGACACGCGAUAAAUCGGGAAGAGGAAAAAAAAAAAAAAAAAAAAACGUGCAUUUCGUCCGUUUCUUUGUUUCCGUUUGCCAGUCGAUAUAUCUAACCACGGCCUUCGAACUAUUCCCUUAUCGCGAGUCCACCGCUGGCUCCGCAUAAUCUGGAUCUUUGUCAGCGAUUCCAAACAAAGCGGUUCGAAAUCUCUGUUUGCUCGACCGGCACGCAAUUCCUUAUCUAACGUAAACUUUGCCUUUCUUUGUUUCACGGGCAGGAACAGAGUGAGAAAGACAGAGAGAGAGAGAGGGAGAGGAGUUUCGGUUCCUCGCUUCCUUUUCAACGACCAUUGAGACUAUGAUUUCUUUUUGUUUGGGGAAGGGGGGGAAAAAAAAAGAAAAGAAAAAUCGAUAACGUGGUUUCCAUACAAAUUUUAAUUAACGUAGAUAAGAUUUGUCGACAUAGGUAUCGUAGAAAUUUUCAAAUAUUAGAAAGAUAUAAUACGCAUCUGGCGUAUUAUAUUAAUUAUAUUCGUUAUUUCUGUUUCUUUCCAAGGAUCGAUAAUCCUUUUAACCUAUUAGUCAAGCUAUCUUUCGCGGAAAAUAAAUAAAUAAAUAUAUAUAUAUAACGAAUUUCUAACGAAUUAGUAUUUUGAAAUUCGUCGACGACCGCUAUUCGUCCGGGUUAAAUACGUCAGUGACGUUCUACGAAAUCUAUUGGCUCGUUAACCGGUCACGUGAUAAAUUGGUGCACUGCCAAUCGGUGUAUUGCUUCGAAUCUGGCAAAAUGCCAUUUGUUUACCGAACGUUCGAACGACUCGAUAUCGGUUUUUGAUUCAAAGUGUCGCUUAUAUACCUUCUUCUUUUCUUUCGUUACUUUUUUUCUUCCGUCUUUCAUUUCUCAUUCAUUUUCUUUUUUUUCUAUUCGAAAUCCCUUUUUUUUCGAUCCCGUCGAUCAGUUCUUUCUUCCGAGACUCUCGUUUCAUUUCGGCGACACGGUCUCUCGCACUUUCACUUUUCCAUUUGGUAAAUUACACGUCUGUAAAUGGUAAAAGGAAUUAGUUUUCAAUUAUUCAUAUUUAUCUUGAUUUACAUUAACUCGAGAACUCAUAGAAUAUUCAUUACCUUUCUUAAUAUUCUUUUGGGCAAGAAUGAAAUUUUACUUUUAAAUAUCUCGAUUGGAAUCUCGAUUGUUUUGAAAAGUAACAAUUUUUAACAAUUACUUCCCUCGUGUUUGUAAUCGUACAAUCGAAAUUCUUUUUUCCUCCGUUUUUUAAACAUCUUGAUCAUUUCUUUUCAUUAAUUUCUUUUUUAAACAAAUUUCAAAACGUCUCGCCCCGAUAACGCAAAAAUACAAGCGAGACGAGGCGAUACGAAAUUUUCGAAAGCUUUUCUUUAGCACGCAUUUCUUUUUUUUUCCUUUUUCAGGCCAUCGUUCAAAAGCGUGAUUCGUCACUAUCGUUUUUUAUUCGAAUCGUACGGUCGGUGUUGCGCGUAUAUCUCGGAUGCAUCGAUGAGUAUUUUGCAAGCCGCGGAAUCCGUGACUCGAUUUUCAAAAGAAAUAUGAUCCUUGCCUGCGCGUCCUCGUUACGCGUGCACGUGAAGCGAAUGAAACGCAUCUCGAAAAGGAAUUCCAUCCGAAUGGAGGCCGGCGUGGAAUUAGCAUAAGAAAAUUGGAAGCCCACUUUCGUAUCGUGUAUUUCGGGGCAUGGUGGACGCGGCAUACAAGGGGCGCGGGUCCCAUUAUGCGCUUCCAUCGCCCAUUUGCAUUCGAAUCGAUCGUUUCGAAACGUGUCCAACGUUUUCCGGAUGUCGCAUUUUCAUCGAUAACAGGCCUCGUUACACCUCGUUUCUUUUCAAUAUCGAAAUUGAGAAAAAAAUCCUUGGAAGCAUUCAAUUCGUUUUUUUUUUAAUAAACCUUCGAAUUACCUCCAUCAAUUCGAUGGAUAUUGUUCCUAUUGUCUAUCGUUUCUUUUUUUUUUUUUUUAAUUUAAAAGAGAUGAGAUCUUUUUCGAUCAUUCAUUCGAGUCAAAUUCGAUUUUAACGGCUUCGAGAUCCACGUGCACGUUCGAUGGGUAUUGUUUCGAUCGUUUUCAAUUGUCUAUUGUUUUUUCAAGAUUUUUAAAAAAGACACGAGAUUUUUCGAUGAUUCGAGUCAAAUUUCUCGCAGCUUUGGAAUUUUUGCUUCGAUUCGAUGGAUAUUCGAUUGUCUUGGAUUGCCUAUUGUUUUUUUAAAUUUAAAGAAAAUGCGAUUUCUCUCGAUUAUUCGAUUUUAGUAGCUUUGAAAUUCACGCGCACGUUCGAUAGGUAUUGCUUCGAUCGUUUUUCAAUCGUCUAUUGUCUUUUUAAGUUGAAAAGAGACGAGUCAAAUUCGAUUUUGAAAUUUUGCAUUCGAUUCGAUGCAUAUUGUUCUCGCCUAUUGUCUUUUAAAAUUUAAAAAAGAUGAGAUUUUUCGAUAAUAAUUCGCGUGGAAAAAGGAAGGAUACAACGCGAAACUGUGUUUCUCGGAAUCGAGACGAAACCCCAUUUUCGCGUUUAACAUCGUCGUUGGGAAGCGACAAUGGCGGGAAACUGUGCAAAAGUUUUCGAUUCUUCGAUUCUCGGAAGUCGGAGUCUCGAAUAUAUGCAAUAAACGAUAUUUCACGAUAGAGCGGAAUAAAUUAUGCGAGGGGAGGAGGGAGGGGAAAGAGAAGAUUGGAAGGAAUCCGAAGCGUUGGACGAGGAUAGAGAUAGCGUGGUUAAUAACAUGCAUGAAAUAACGCAGCUGCGCUAUCAAAGAUGUCGUUUUGCUCGCCGCCAUUACGCCACUAGGUCACUGGUACUGUACGUAUUCCAUUAUUCCUGAGAGAGGAAUUAUGGUAUUAUUAUCGCGAACUUACACACUGUAACAACUGUGCCGCGCUCGAGUUUAACGACUAAUCCCCCAAGCCUUUAACUAACAGUUUUCCACCGACGCUAUGCUCGAUUCAAUGUAGAUUUCCUUUGUGUCCCAUAGCGAGAGAUCUGGCUAUACCUCGUUCCAAUCCAACGGAUUUUAUGUUUACACACGCGACUGACGCGAAACGAUAUACUUCUCCUUUUUUCUCGUUUUCCUAACCUAACUUAACCUCAUCUAACCUCGACCGAGAGUCGACACAGUCUCCGCAAUUUAUUCUGGGUAUGUAAUCGCGAGAUUCGCCCGCUAUUCGAUUCGAUACAAUUUUUAACAUUAAUUUUUCUCGGUAGGAAAGGAGAGGGGGAAGCGGCGGACGUGUAACGCGCUGUAGACGCGCGUGCUCUUUGUUUACCCGCGCAUUCCAUUGCGCAUGUACACACAUACACAUACACGUACACGUAUAUGCACGCACACGAAGAAGAAUCGGUGCGCGCGUGCAUGCAUAGAGGCGUGCGUGCGAAUGCAUUAGCCGCGAGUUAUCUACAUCACAAAGCAUCGCCGCUUAGUUGCCCUACUUAUCCCGCGCCUCGACGCUUAAUAACUCUGGGGAGCGUCCAGAUAACGCGUCACGCCUCCACCACGUUUUCUUCUUCUUCUUCUUUUUUCUUUCCCCUCCAUUUUUUUCUCAAUUUUUUCUCCGUUUUUCACCGAUCUCGAGAACGUUGCGAUUGACGAACCAUUGUCGUCGCGAAACGAACUCGUUGUUACACGUUUAAGAUACUCGAAGAAGAAACUUGAACUUUUACGAUGCGUUACAGGUAGAGAAAAAUUACUGUAAGAAAAUCGUGCAAAAAGAUAGUAUAUAUACAUAUACUAGACAUACAUAUAUAUAUAUUCGUGGAUUUUAUGAUUAAUUUUUCACUGUAGCAAGUGGCACGGUUUCACCGUUUCACAAGAUAGAAGUGGAAUAGCCUAAUCCGCAGUUCCUUCCUGAUUAAACCGCAUCUCGAGCUCCGUACCGAAUUGAAAGUUUUUUUGCGUUGCCUUCUCUCUCUCUCUCUCUCUCUCUCUCUCUCUCUCUCUCUCUCUCUGUCUUGUUGAAGAAUUCUUUUAUCGAUAUUGCACGCAAAAUAUCCGAAACGAGACAGAUCUGAAAUGAUCGGCGAAACGAGAUAUAGAGAUUAUUCAAAUAUCGAAUUUAUUAAUUUAGAAAUUGCUCAAUUAGUCUAAUCGAUCCAUACUUCGAACAAUUAGUCUCAAUUUAUCAAUCAUUAUAUCGGCAAUAAUAUUGUGUAUAGCGCAGAAAUCCCAUAAUCGAAAUCAUCGUGCACAUAGAUAAGGAUAUUUUUCCACGACCUCGGCAAACGGUUCGAUUAUUCAUCUUCUUAUCGCGUGGGAAAGGUUAUCUUUCCAAUUCUAAACGACGUAUGUACACGCUUUCGUACACAAGGAGCGAAAACUUGGGUAGGGAGGGGGGAAGAGGAAACAAGAUCCGUAAAAAACGGAAAUGCAUUUUUUUUUUCCUAUGCAAUUAUUUGUAAGCGCUUGAAAACACAUUGCAACGCAUGCUAGACUAGAACUAAUAUAUAUAUAUACGUAUUUGUAUACGUAUGCACUCGUAAACACGUUUAAAUGAUCGUUCGAAGGAGGAAAGAAUUUGCACGAGUUUUAACUAUCUAAUCUUGAGACACGAUUAAGGAGGCAAAUGUUAAAACCGGACCGAUUUUCCAGUCACAGGUGCGGAAUGUUUACGAUGAUUUUUGCAUUUUUGAGGUCGUAAAAAUAUCGGGGAAAAAAAUAAGAAAAAAAGAUUUCCUUCGCAUAAUUUUUGCGCAUAAAAAUAUAAACAGCGUCGAUGCUUAUUUUUUAUUAAUUUCGUAUCUUUAAACGGCAAUAUGGAUGGAUUAAAUAUGGAUUAUUUUUUUGUUUUCCGUAUAUCAAGUAUACAAUAAAUUUGCAUACAUUUGACGUAGUAAAGACGAGGCGUAGCAGUGAAUCGAAGGAACAAAUAUGCGUAUAAAAGGUAAUAGAGUCAAUUUUCUCUGCAAAUUGGUUUCUCUUAUUAUUAGCUCCUUCUCUUCCAACUUAUAUAAUAAAUCCAUACCACUACAUUGUACGUGCUAGCAAGGAUCAUUACUCUGCUUAUCUCUGAAACAGGUUUUCUUCGAUCCUCGAGCGCUUUUAAUACAUACUCUGUGUAUCUUCGAAGAAGAAAAAGAAGAAGAAGAAGACGUUUUAACGUUUCCACGCAAAUAUUCAUAAAAGCAUAGAUAGAUACGUAUCAAAAGUAAAUUUUUUCAAAAUUUUCAAAAAGUCCACUCAUCGAUCGAUCAGUUUUUUUUUCCUUCCCGUUCAAAAUUUUUCAUUUUAACGAGAAUUAUAGAAAAAAAAAAAGAGAAAACGAGCAAACGAAACAGAGAAAUCCGUUUUAGACGAAUAAAUAUAUAUAAACGAGGAUCGAGAUCCAAGGAUAAGGAGAGAAUGUAUAACGAUCAAAGGAGGCACGAAGAACGGAAUUCGCGAUAAUAACUCUGGUUCGAGAAUCGUAUACGGGUAUCUGCGCUCGUCCUCGCAUUUUUCACCAUCUUAGAGAAGUAUGUUGCAUCGGUUAAGGAGAUCUAGACGCGCAACCUUGCGAGUCGAGAGCGACCUUCGUGUCGAAUUAUCCAUUCGAAGCCGUUUACCGCGUAAUCGAACUCGAUGCGGAUUAAUCGAAGAGAGAGCCCUCCAUCGCAUCGAACGAUCGAUCGAGGAUGGAAACAGAAUUCGAUGGAUGCUCCACUCAUGUGUACAGAUUCGUUUUAAAUCGAGCGGAUAAUAUCGAUUACAAAUAAUACGUGCGUAUAAUUUGUUAAAUCCGAAAGAGAAUCCGAAGAGAAAUGUAAAUGUGGAAAAAUUCUUGCGGGGAAAAUUACACGAGUUAAAGUUUCACGCGUGAAAUAGAGAGGUUAGGUUAGGUUACGUUCACUUUUCAAAUAUUUUGCCAGAUCUGAAGAGAUGUGGAAAUAUUUUUCCGUUAUUCUCUUUGGAAAAAAAUGACACGAAUUAAAAUUCACGCUUGAUAUAGCGAGGUUAGAUUAGGUUAUAUUUCAGCUUUUCAAAUAUUUUGCUAGAUUUGAAAGAGAAUCGGAGAGAUGUGAAAAUAUUCCAUUAUUCUCUUAGGAAAAAAAAUUACACGAAUUAAAAUUAACACGCGUGACAUAGAGAGGUUAGGUUAGGCUGUGCUCGCUUUUCGUUCGCUUUGAAAGUUGCGAUACUUAUACAAUCUCGACUCGUUCGUCUCGAAAGAUCGACGGAAUGGAAAAAUAAUGGAUAUUAAUCGAAGGAAAUUCAGAGACUUGAUUAUUGUUUUUCUGCGACGGGCACCGUUCUCCAACAAGGUUAUUUCUGCCUUCUCGUAUUUCAACUCGAAACCGGACUCGUGCCACUAAUGAAUCGCGGCUCUUUCCCGCGCAUUGCAUAACCCUGUCUCUUUUUCUUUUUUUUUUUUUAUAUUUUUUUUUACGUUUCAUACGCUAUCGAUUCGCGAUCACACGUGCACGCAUCUCAAGUCAUUUCGAUUUAUCGCAGAUAGGUGUAACAACGGCAGAUUUUUUUUUCAUCUUCCUUUUGAAUAGAUGAAACCAGUUAAUAUUUCCAAUCCAUCUUCCUCGUUUUCAUUCUUACUUAUUACGAUAUAUUUCAUUUCUUUUUUUUUUUUGGGAGGAGAAUUUCUCGACCAAUUUAUCUUUUUAUUAUCUUUGGAAUGUUUUAUUAUCGGCUCGGGAGAAGAAAUCCGUGCUAUUCCACGAGGGAGCUCUAUAGCGAUCGUGUAAAUUGAACCAUCGCUUUCAACUAGGAAUGCGGGGAGAAUUGGCUUGACCUACAGUGCACUACAGUUUCAUAUUUAUCGCCAAUGUUCACGGCAACGUACCAUAAAAGAGCGCCGAGAAAUGUGUGCUAUUUAGCUCGUCGAAUUAACGUUCGCUACGUGCUAAAAAUGCGCACAAUUUCUCUCGAAAUAGGUAAGAAACCGAAGGAGAGAUUUUAUACGAUGUAUUUUUUUUUCUUUUAUGCAAUAAUCAUAAUCAUUUUCAUCUUCUCUGAUUGACUUUUAAGAAUAAAUAAAGAAAUCGCGAAUUAAACGACGCAAAAGAAAAGAAAAAAAAAGAACUUACCUAUCGUUGUCGCGUGAUUAGGUUAGGUUAGCCUUACGAAGCACGAAGUCUUAGUAGAAUCUUAUCCGAUAAUUUUAAGGCUAUUACACGUCUCGCCACGCAAAGAAUUCAAAAUAUUCUAGAAAUUCUCCUACAUCCUUUUGUUAUUUCAACUUGGGAAGACUUAAAGAAACACCGAACAAUCGUAUCCAAUAAUUUUAAGACUAUCGUAUUUCACCCGGUCACGUUCCAAAACUCGUUUGUUUCGAGUUGCAAGUCGAUUUAUAUAGAACGAAAUGAGAAAUCGCGUCCAAUAUUGCGCGUAUACGCGUGAAAAAUAAACGGAUAAUCGAAAUGACACCAAAAGCUUCGAGAAUCUCUUCGCUAUCGAAUCGAUGUCUUAAGUUUAUCGACGGAACGCUAGACUCGUCGAUAAACUGUACAUGUUGAUAUAUUCGCGUAAUCGUGCGGUAUAACUAUAUACAUGGUAUAUAACUAUAUCGCGGAUUGGCAAGCAUUCGUGGCUGAAGUGGCGGCCAAUUUUGCAUACGUUCGUCUUUUUCGAUCGAAAUACGUACGUAUUCGAGCGGAUGAUACGAGCUCGAGGUUUCCUUCCUCCGUUAACUACUCUUUCCGUCCCGUGCGCACCUGUACACGAUAUUUCCAUUGGAAAAAACAAAACCUCUUUCCUUCGUUGUUCGACUUAUCUUCGACGCAUUCCAGUGGAGCCAAGGUAAACGGAGAGGAAAAAAAAAUAAAAAAAAAGAGAGAGAAAAAAGAAGGAAGAGGAAUAUCGUUCUUCUGCGAGCACGUACUCGAACAACGUAAUCAAUAUUCUUCUGUUUCCUGCCUUCCCUCGUCUUCCAUCGACCGAGAUGAAAAUCGUACAUGAUAUAGAUCGUGAUCCUGUCGUCUGAGAAAUUGAACAAAACGAGAGAGAGAGAGAGAGAAAGAGAAAGAAAGAAAGAAAGAAUAUUUAUUUUUAUUUUUAUUCCAUUAUAGUUUAUUUCUGCCUUACACAACUUUUUCAACUUUUUCCUCUCUUCCUUUCGCGGAUAAAAAAUCGAAAUUCUCCGAAGGAUGACCAAAAAAAAAAAAAACGAAGAAGAUUCUCCGUUUUUUCUUUGAUCCCUCGCGAUCGAUACCAGGAUGAAUCGUGAUCGAUGAGUUAAUUAGAGAUCGAUCAAUUAGAGAACGGGGUCGAGCCAGUUACUUCGUGGAAAUUAUGCCCGCUGGCAAGCAUCGCGAUUUCAUUUGCCUGCUGGCUGGUUAAAUAAAAAUGUGAGGACAUCGCGUCGUGACACCACGGCCUUUCUAAUUCUACUCCCAAUUUCGAUUCUCUUCUCUUUCGUUCUCGAUCUCUGGCAACGGUUUGUCGUAUUGUAUUUUUUUUUCUUUUUUGAAAAACUUCGUAUCUUUUCGAAACGUAGCUCGUUGUUGUCGAUAUUCGCCGAAUUAUUCGAAGAGAUUCGAGAAGAUUAAGAAGAACAAGCCCCACCUCUCGACCCGAGCCUCGACUCCGACGGCUUUUCAGAGAAGAUUCAUUGGACAGGCUCCGUAAUAUUUCAUCACUGAAACCACCAUCGCGCGGAACGAACGACGCCGAUUUUUUUCAACCUGACGUUUCGAAAAACUGUUUUAACCCUGCGGGCCGACCUAUGUUAAAAAAAACAUUGUCGCAUCGAGAUAAUAUUCUCUCGAUUAAGGUGGAUAAAAAUAAAAACGUAUCAACUCGAGAUUACCCGUAUCGAUAUCGAUCAAUCGCAGCGAGUGUUUAUUAAAUUCGACUAUUGACGGCGAAAGGAUCAACGCGUCAAUAAGUCGAUUGGAAUCGAUACGACGGAUCGUGUUUCGCGAGAUAACGUCCCGAGAUAAUUUAUCGAUUAUUUUAUAACUCUCUGAUUAUUUUUUCUUUUUUCCUUGUUAUUGGCCAGUGCACGAGAAAUUCCUCAAAUUUUUCGAUCGAUUGUUGUUGCAAAACGUUCGUUGGAGAAACAAACAAAACUCGAUUUUAAAAACGACUUUAAAACGUCGAAUCAUCCUCGACUUUGCUCCACGUGUUUACCGCGCGGGAAGAAAAAAACGAGCAUAAAAAGGUUUUUGCGCGCUUUUGCGGUUAGGCUGGGUCGGGUCGGGCCUCCCCUCCCCCGAUUAGACGCGAAAUUUAACUUCAAUCAAGAAGCAAGCAUCAACGAAAGGCUGAAACGCAAGACCGAUUGCCGUGAAUUAUUCAUGAGCGACGGACGAGCUGUACGAUCGUUUUUCAUAUUCUAAGCGUUUAUUUACGAGCCGAGUUUAUUCCACGAGGCGAAUCGUUCGUCUGGGGCACGGAACCGAGACAAUGUUGCGAUUGAUUCUUAAUCGAUAAAGACGAUCUCGGUCGUAAGGUCGUUUCGCCGGCAUUAUUAAUGGCACGUGGCGAUAAAUCGGCGAGGAAUAUCGCGAAGAAGAAGAGGAGGAAGAAAGGAAAGAGAGAAAGAAAAAGAAGAAGACGCGUUAGUCGUUCAAUUCAUAUACACGUUUCUUAUAUACGUUUUCUCCGCGUCGCGUCGUGGAAUAGCGUUUAACACCGUUGUUAUAUCAACUAACACUUUUACUCGGGCGAAAAGGAGGGAAAUAGAGUGCGUUCAAGAGUAGAAACAAUAUUUGGUUUCUCGUCUACGAUAUAUGUGCAUCGCGUCGUUUACAUUAAACUAUCGAGUUAUUUUUAUACUCGAGGACGUGGAGCGCUGAGCGCGAAACAAAGCCGGAUCGAAUCUGGAUAACGCAAGGUUUCGCGAAAGAAAAGCGGUGGAUGUAGAAUGUAGGAAGGAAUAGCUUAGGUGGUGGCGUCCUUGAUCGAGCGUCGCGAAUCAUCGAAAGAAAAAUGGAAACCGAGUCGAGAGCGAUGUCUCUGCAAAAUCUCGAUAAUGGAAAAAAAACUUUGAUUUAUUCAAAACGCUGUUUUUACGUCUCAUUUAUUUAUCAUUCCGAUUCAAAUAUCGUUAAAUAUUCAGUUUUCGGCCGCAUUCUUCCGAAUCUAUAUGUCUUCAAUUACACCCAAUUCCGCCCACGCCUUCGCUUUCACGCAGCGCUCGCUUUAUCGCGAGCAUCAUAAACGCCCGUUCACGCCUGUUAAAACAACGAAAUAGUUGAUUUUCAACGCGUUUGAAACGCGUGAGUGAAAGUUUUUCCACGAUCCCCCCCCCGUGAUUAUCCGUUCUCCGAUCUUCGAAUUAAUAUUUUUACCUGAACGAGGAACAUUAUUAUUGUUAUUAUUAACCGAUAAAAUAUAGACUUUAAAUUUUAUUAGCAAUUAUCCAACUUAUGCAACCGCUCCGUUACACUCGCGAGGAUUUACAUAUACGAACGGCUUCCGGGAAACGAACGUUCGAUUCGGUUAGGCCGCAAAAAUUCACCAUCUUAAUUCCUACCGAGAAACUUGCCCAAUUGAGCCAAUUAGCCAAUUGCGAUAAUUAACGCGGCGCACCGAUGGGACGCGAGUUGAAAUUCCGGUUUCUUCCUCGCUUGAAAUCGCUUGUUCUGCGAUCGUGUUCGUAGUUCAUCGAUUAUUACGUGAUCUUUUAAAAAUUCGAGUCUUCUUCUCUCUUUCUUCUUCCUUUUCCCCCUCUCGUUUCGUUUCGUUUUCGAUCCUUUUCGACGAAGUACGAAAAUUUUUUAACGGCUGUUAAAUUGCAUGGAAAAAGAUGUAAGAUGUAGGAAGAGGAGGGGAAGAGAGAAAGAGAGAGAGAGAGAGAGAAACACGGUUUAUGGGCGAAAAAAAAAAGAGACGCAAAGUUUACGUUUUAAUAUAGUGAAAUUUUAUUCUUUUCAUCGUAUUUCAUUCAAAAAUAAAAUUAUUCGUAAAAAAAGAUUUCUUCGCUUUCUCGAUCGGUAGACAAUAUAUAUAUAUGUAUAUAUAUAACAUGUACAUAUGGGCCGCGAUAUAUGUAUAAAUAUAUAUAUAUAUACAUACACGCCAAAUAUAUUUAUACAUAUAUACGUAUAUAUAUAUAUAUAUAAUUCUUUUAUAAUAAUUAUUACAUAUUACAAUAGCAAUAUUUACUCUCGUUUAUAGGGUUAUAUUUAACUCUAUAUAUGCGAUGCAUUUUAUCGCCGCGUCGUCAUCAUCACCGUACCACUAUACUUAUUUAUUUAUUUAUUUGUUUAUUUAUUUAUAUGCCACGCAUACAUAUGUAUACGUAUAACAAUCGAAUAACCAUUUUAUACGUAUACGCAUGGACGCUGAUUUUUAACGGGGUUAUUUCUCGCUUACAUACUAAAUCACAUUGUGGUUGUUUUCACCUUUUUACUUUCAUACGUUCUUUUGUGCCACCGAUUUUCUCCGCUCGUCUAUAAAUAUAUAUAUAUAUAUAUAUAUAUUUAUAAAAAAAGAAAAAAAAAAAGAAAA